UGUGCAGGAAAAUAAUAAUAUGCAAAAAAUUGAAGAAUAUAAAAAAAAGACAUCGUUUGUACUUGUAAGAGGAGCACUCACCUGGUUGCGCUCCAUAAUGUAGAAAAAAGAAGAAGAAUAAUAAGAAGAACAAGAAGAACUAGUAGUAGUAGCAAUAGUAAUAGUAAUAGCAGCAGUAGCAGUAGCAGCAAUAGUAGUAGUAGCAGCAGCAACAGCAACAACAGCAGUAGCAGCAGUAGCAGCACCAGCAGUAGUAGUAACAUCAACGGUAGUAGUAGUAAUAGUAAUAGUAGCAGCAGCAGUAGUAAUAAUAGUAGUAACAACAACAACAACGAUAGUAGUAGUAGUAGCAGCAGUAGCAGUACUAACAGUAAUAACAAUAGCAACAGUAG
rnacentral:lncRNA from 1 species